rnacentral:rRNA from 2 species
AAAGGUAAGCUACUAAGAGCGAAUGGUGGAUGCCUUGACUGGUAAAGGCGAUGAAGGACGUACUAGACUGCGAUAAGCUACGGGGAGCUGUCAAGAAGCUUUGAUCCGUAGAUUUCCGAAUGGGGCAACCCAAUGUAUAGAGAUAUACAUUACCUAUAUAGGAGCGAAC